rnacentral:lncRNA from 1 species
CUAACCUGCUUCAGUGGGUGUGUUUGUUUUACUGCUGCUGAGACACAUUGGAAGCUGGCCACAUUUAAAAGAGACCACUGGAUAACAGACAAAACCCCACCUUGAGGAUGGCAGUUGCUCAGUCCUUCCAUCUGCCACCCUUCAGAUAAUUCUCCCACACUCAUUGAGGACUUUGCACCUGAUUUUCAGUUGUGAUUCUUAGAUGACCUCAGAGUUCAUCUGCAGGUCUGUCUGGCCCUGGUGUUUAAGCUGUUCCCCUACCUGACAGGAGCCAAAGGCAUCCACAUUCAGAAGUCAAGAGCAAAAGAGUAUAAAUAAGUGACAAACCCAAAGCUUCCCAUCUCAAGCAGUCAAAGUAAACUCCAUCUACAGAAUCGAAUCGCUUCAAUGAUUUGGGAAGGAACCGGAGGGUUUAAAAGAGAAUCCUCAGCUGUGACCCUCUGUCGAGCAGACUCCUGUCUUUGUGCUACUGUUAUUGGCAUCUUACCUCCGCAUAGACGGCAACCUGGAAAUGCACAGUUUUAUUUGUGCUUCCAGCCAUCAAUUAACCUGUAAAGAAGUAUGAUCAAC